UAUAAUUUUGAGUGCUCCAGGGUUGGUGCAAUUUUUAUUUCUGGUUCUGUUUUAUUUGACCUUUAUAUCUCGCCACCAGCUCCACCCAAUCCUAGUCGGUUCGAGCUCUCAUUGGUCGAUGCCGAUGAAAACGAACUUCCGAGCAAUUCUCUCAUUCCGAACCACUCCAAAUUGCGAGUCAAUGAGAAAGCUCAAAGGGUUUCAUCGUUUGAAUUUCGAAAUUUCCGAAUCGUAAAAUUUAUUUGCUGAAUCGUGGAGGAUCACAAUCCAGGUUGACUAUCGGCCAGAUCAAAGUGGGCAAGGGACGAUGCAGCAGACGCCUCAGGAGGACGGCGUCACUGGAGCUACCCCUCUGCAAGUCAUUCCCUUGAGCAGCUCGUCUUAUAAAAAAGAUGAUUAUCCGCCUGCCGCUGUCUUUGCCAAUGCAAGGCAACUUCUUGCGGCCGCUCCGUCUUUUCCAAGUAAUAUGGAUGCAUCUCAUGAGAAGAUUAACGCAGCACAUAAGACGGUGAGCCGCCUCAUAGAGCUUGACUUAAGAAGCCUGCUGGCUGAGGAGGGACUUAGGGAAUGAAUUGCCAAUUUGGAUUAUCUGCGCUCUGUGGACUUCUUCCCUUCCCACCGCCUUUCAUCAUCGUGGUGCUUACUGCUCUGAGGCUUAAUGCACUCAUCUAGAGGCUGAGAAUCGUCUCUUUCCUGUGCUAUCAAGAAAUUUUCUUCUGGAGAUGAAGUGAAGUCCUUGCUGUCCUUGCUCCAUACGAAAUUGGUCCAGUCUCGCCUUCCUAGCUGUUUGAGGUAUAAGGAUCUUUACAAUCGGGAAACUUUUAUAUUCCUCAAUAGGCACAAGGAACGAAGCUUUCAGUGUAACAUUCCAUUCUCGAGGGAAGAGAACACACAAAUCUCCCCUUCUUUUGGCCUGCGGUAAUGGAAUGGAAAGUAUGAGUGAUUUUAAUA